rnacentral:rRNA from 1 species
UUCUGCCCUAUGAUUAUUUAAAUGGCUGCAGUAUAUUGACUGUGCAAAGGUAGCAUAAUAAUUAGUCCUUUAAUUGAUGACUUGAAUGAAUGGAUAAAUGAGAAAUUAGUUUUAUUAAUUAUAUUUUUUGAAUUUAAUUUUUAGGUAAAAAAGCUUAAUUUCAUUUUCGGGACGAUAAGACCCUAUAGAACUUUAUUAUAUGUAAUAUUUGAUUUAUUUUAGUUUUUUUAAUAAUUCAUUUUUAUUAAUUCUUUUGUUGGGGUGACAAAUAAAUAUUACUUUAUUUUUUUUUUUCAUCUAUUAAUGUUUAGUUGAUCCAUUAUUUUGAUUUUAAGAUUAAGUUACCUUAGGGAUAACAGCGUAAUUUUGAUGGUAAGUUCAUAUUUAUAUUAAAGUUUGCGACCUCGAUGUUGAAUUAAGAUUAGGUUAAGGGGUAG